AUGGAAUCACUUGAUCAGGGAAACUACGCCGCACACAUCCUCGACAUUGCUGGGCUGAGGAACUGCAAUCCCACGCCCACACCCAUGGAGGAGCGACUCAAAUUUAGUCGUGAGAGCACAGCACAUGAGAUUGAUGCCACAACAUACCCGCGGAUCAUUGGAAGUCUGUGGUACCUCGUCCACACGAGGCCUGAUCUCGCCUUCUUGGUAGGUUAUGUGAGCAGAUUCAUGGAGCGCCACACAGUGGAGCACAUGGACGCCGUGAAGCGGCUGCUGCGCUACACAAUGGACUAUGGUCUCUCCUACCCACGUGGUUCACAGGAGGCAAAACUAGUUGGAUAUUCAGACAGUGACCACACCGGCGACGUCGACACAAGGAAGAGCGCCGACAGGCUGAUAAGCUGGCAAUCAGCCAGGCAGCGAGUUGUGGCUGCAUCUUGCUGUGAAGCAGAGUUUGUCGCUGCAGCAACGGUGGCAACCCAAGCCAUUUGGCUAGCACGGUUGCUCGGUGAUCUGAAGGGGGAGAAAGCGGACACCUUCAAGCUGAAGAUCGACAUGUCCGCACUGGCACUCAGCAAGAACCCAGUUUUCCAUGAGCAGAGCAAGCAUAUCGACGUCCGGUAUCGUUUCAUCCGCGAUUGCGUGGAGAAUGGGUGCAUCUCUACUGAUUUUGUUGGCACCAAGGACCAGCUCGCAGACAUCCUAAUGAAGGGAUUAGGGCGAGUCUGUUUCCAUGAGCUCACCACAAGGAUUGAAUGGUUAAGAUCAGUGCCAAGUAGACACAAGGAUCAGAGGCAGACAUACUCAAACUUUGUUACGAAACAAAGAUACAUAACUAUUCAUGAUAAAUCAUUUUCAACUACUCUGGGUUUGCUCGCCAUUGCUUUUAUUUUUUUUCUGGGUUCUGCAUGUGGCAUUUGUUUGUGCUUGGUUUCGUGA
rnacentral:rRNA from 1 species